rnacentral:tRNA from 4 species
GCCCUCGUAGCCCAAUGGUAGGGCGUCAGACUUCUAAUCUGAAGGCUGCGGGUUCGAGUCCCGCCGGGGGUA